rnacentral:rRNA from 1 species
GAUGAACGCUGGCGGCGUGCUUAACACAUGCAAGUCGAACGAUGAAGCCCAGCUUGCUGGGUGGAUUAGUGGCGAACGGGUGAGUAACACGUGAGUAACCUGCCCUUAACUCUGGAUAAGGCUGGGAAACCGGGGCUAAUUACGGGUAGGAAGGGCUAACGCCUGGGUGGGGGUGGGAAGGUUUUAUCGGUUUUGGAUGGACUCGCGGCCUAUCAGCUUGUUGGUGAGGUAAUGGCUCACCAAGGCGACGACGGGUAGCCGGCCUGAGAGGGUGACCGGCCACACUGGGACUGAGACACGGCCCAGACUCCUACGGGAGGCAGCAGUGGGGAAUAUUGCACAAUGGGCGAAAGCCUGAUGCAGCGACGCCGCGUGAGGGAUGACGGCCUUCGGGUUGUAAACCUCUUUCAGUAGGGAAGAAGCGAAAGUGACGGUACCUGCAGAAGAAGCACCGGCUAACUACGUG